UACGAAGGGGGCGAGCGUUGUUCGGAUUUAUUGGGCGUAAAGAGCGUGUAGGCGGCCAGGUAGGUCUGCUGUGAAAACUCGAGGCUUAACCUCGAGAUGUCGGCGGAAACCAUCUGGCUAGAGUCCGGAAGAGGAGAGUGGAAUUCCUGGUGUAGCGGUGAAAUGCGCAGAUAUCAGGAAGAACACCCGUGGCGAAGGCGGCUCUCUGGGACGGUACUGACGCUGAGACGCGAAAGCGUGGGGAGCGAACAGG
rnacentral:rRNA from 1 species